CUAUGUUUGAUGUAGGAGAGGAGGAGCAGGGGCUUGCCAGGCCCAGAGCAGAGUGUGAUGUUGGCCGGCAAGGCUGGGAAGCUGAAACCAGUUCAAAUUCCUCCCACAGCUCUCCUCCUCUGAAUGAAGUUAUAUUUCAAGAAGCAUGCGAAGUAACAGAGACGUAUUUACAUUCUGAUUUACACAGGAAUUAAUCAUAGGUAAUAU
rnacentral:lncRNA from 1 species